AUUUACAUUUGAGUGAGUGGCGAACUGGUGAGUAACACGUGGGAAACCUGCCCAGAAGCGGGGGAUAACACCUGGAAACAGAUGCUAAUACCGCAUAACAACUUGGACCGCAUGGUCCGAGCUUGAAAGAUGGCUUCGGCUAUCACUUUUGGAUGGUCCCGCGGCGUAUUAGCUAGAUGGUGGGGUAACGGCUCACCAUGGCAAUGAUACGUAGCCGACCUGAGAGGGUAAUCGGCCACAUUGGGACUGAGACACGGCCCAAACUCCUACGGGAGGCAGCAGUAGGGAAUCUUCCACAAUGGACGAAAGUCUGAUGGAGCAACGCCGCGUGAGUGAAGAAGGGUUUCGGCUCGUAAAACUCUGUUGUUAAAGAAGAACAUAUCUGAGAGUAACUGUUCAGGUAUUGACGGUAUUUAACCAGAAAGCCACGGCUAACUACGUGCCAGCAGCCGCGGUAAUACGUAGGUGGCAAGCGUUGUCCGGAUUUAUUGGGCGUAAAGCGAGCGCAGGCGGUUUUUUAAGUCUGAUGUGAAAGCCUUCGGCUCAACCGAAGAAGUGCAUCGGAAACUGGGAAACUUGAGUGCAGAAGAGGACAGUGGAACUCCAUGUGUAGCGGUGAAAUGCGUAGAUAUAUGGAAGAACACCAGUGGCGAAGGCGGCUGUCUGGUCUGUAACUGACGCUGAGGCUCGAAAGUAUGGGUAGCAAACAGGAUUAGAUACCCUGGUAGUCCAUACCGUAAACGAUGAAUGCUAAGUGUUGGA
rnacentral:rRNA from 1 species